rnacentral:rRNA from 1 species
UACGAAGGAUCCAAGCGUUGUCCGGAUUUACUGGGUUUAAAGGGAGCGUAGGCGGUUUCUUAAGUCAGUGGUGAAAGCCUUCAGCUUAACUGAAGAAUUGCCAUUGAAACUGAGAGACUCGAGUAUGGUUGAGGUCACUGGAAUGUAACAUGUAGCGGUGAAAUGCUUAGAUAUGUUACAGAACACCAAUUGCGAAGGCAGGUGACUAAGCCAUAACUGACGCUGAGGCUCGAAAGCGUGGGGAGCAAACAGG